AUUGAACGCUGGCGGCAGGCCUAACACAUGCAAGUCGAACGAGUGGCGGACGGGUGAGUAAUGUCUGGGAAACUGCCUGAUGGCGGGGGAUAACUACUGGAAACGGUAGCUAAUACCGCAUACCAUCGGAUGUGCCCAGAUGGGAUUAGCUAGUUGGUGGGGUAAAGGCUCACCUAGGCGACGAUCCCUAGCUGGUCUGAGAGGAUGACCAGCCACACUGGGACUGAGACACGGUCCAGACUCCUACGGGAGGCAGCAGUGGGGAAUAUUGCACAAUGGGCGAAAGCCUUAUACAGCCAUGCCGCGUGUAUGAAGAAGGCCUUCGGGUUGUAAAGUACUUUCAGCGGAGAGGCGUUACCCGCAGAAGAAGCACCGGCUAACUCCGUGCCAGCAGCCGCGGUAAUAC
rnacentral:rRNA from 1 species